GCGGCAGUAGCUCAGUGUUAGAGCCCCGCUUCGCAUGCGGGGAGACCUGGGUUUGAUUCCCGGCUGCUUCC
rfam:Toxocara canis scaffold763, whole genome shotgun sequence.